ensembl:lncRNA
GUCGAGAUACACACAGAGGAGAAGAGCUGAGAGGUCGAGAUACACACAGAGGAGAAGAGCUGAGAGGUCGAGAUACACACAGAGGAGAAGAAAGAUAUCAGACUGGGGAAUGUAUUGGAGGUCCUGCGGAGUUAGGUUCAGAAUGGACUGGAGAAUUACCAGAAUGAGAGACGUUGAGACUGACUGAAGGUGAGACUCUGAGAUGCUAAAAUAAACUGGUUGCCCCACGCUACGAGCUGCACAAAAUGAUGGAGCUGACAGUGAAUAGAGAUGUGGAGAACAGGUGUGUGAUGCUCUCAGUGAACUCCCUGAUGGCAAUGUGCUAACGCUGCCACGUUUAGCUCUUCUCGAACCUCAGCAGAACAUUGCUUCACUGCUCGUCUCAGCUUAUAGAGCACAGCGCUGGCAAUGCUAAUGUUGUUGGUUAGAUACUUAAAAAGGUUUGCAUGCAUUACUUAGUUGCUUUGUAUGAAAGGGCCAGCUGAAUUGUUAUUAUUAAAUAGAAUAUUAUGGUACCAUAAUAAUAUCAUGUAUGUAUAUAUUUGUGUGUGUGUGUGUGUGUAUAUAUAUAUAUACACACACACACACAUACAUACACAAUGUGCCUUAGGAAAGUAUUCAGUGUUCUUUUUCUUCAUGCUCUCAGAGUCCUUCAGGCAGCACGGAUACUCCUUUAACUCAGGCCUUUAUGGCCACUCUACCAUAAAGGCCUGAUUGAUGGAGUUCUGCGGGGUGGGUUCUCCUACUGGCAGGUUCUCCCAUCUCAGCAGAGAAACUCUGACACUCGGUUGGAGUGGCCAUUGGGUUCGAGGUCCCCUCCCUGACCGAGGCCCUACUUUCCCGAUUAAUUCGUUUGGCCAGACGGCCGCCUCUAGAUGAUUCUUAGAGGUUCCAAACCUCUUCCCUUUCACAAUGAUGGUACCCACUGUGUUCCUGGGAACCCCCAAUCCUGCUCUACUGGGGUUUCUUUAUACCUCCAUUGAUGAGGUCCCAAUGGGAGGCAGCUGUACAAGGGCAGGGCUUGGUAGCUGUACAGGGGCAGGGCUGGGCUUGGUAGCUGUACAGGGGCAGGGCUGGCCUUGGUAGCUGUACAUGGGCAGGGCUGGGCUUGAUAGCUGUAAAGGGGCAGGGCUGGCCUUGCUGGCUGUACAGGGGCAGGGCUGGCCUUGGUAGCUGUACAGGGGCAGGGCUGGCCUUGCUGGCUGUACAGGGGCAGGGCUGGCCUUGGUAGCUGUACAGGGGCAGGGCUGGGCUUGGUAGCUGUACAGGGGCAGGGCUGGCCUUGCUGGCUGCCUCCGUAAGGUCAUGGAACCUGAUAGCUUUCUCCAAUCGGGGCACCGGUGUCCUACUAAUGUAGAAUCACAGCAACAUGUCAAGGCACCAUGGCGCAAUACCUUACUGAGACACUUAAUGUCACAGUAAUGUUGUUUUUCUUUUAAUUUGUCACCUGCCUGUAUGUAAUAAAUGUAUAUUUAAUACCCAAGGUUUAAUUGAACUACUAUGUGGGAUUGCAUUCAAUGCCUGUUCUUUCCUAGUGCCAUACUGUGUUCAUGUUUUAUUUACCAGCUGUAUAAUACAGACCUCACUGCAUGUUAUUUCACUGUACUGUCUGGACUACAUGUGGCAAUGGAGAAAGCAGCAACCCUUAGUAUUAGAUAACGUAUGUAUAUUUUAUUACUUGGCAUUUCCUUCACAAACAUUCAAAUACUUUUUUUAUUUUUUUCGAUUUCGAGCGCCAGGACCUACUCCAUUCCCAAAUGGGAUUUGAACCUAUUCAAGAAUACUCUUCCCCCAAAAAAUGGCCUCCAACUUUUCUGUGUCUGUGAGUGUCAUUGUUUUAUUCAUAGACCUCAUCAAAGAGCCCAUUUCAUUGUAGUAAAAUGUAAAAAAAUAAAUAAACUGUGGAUCUUAAGUCAUCCGCUCUGCCUAAUGAAUAAUGCAUCACAGACUCAGUGAAAAUGCUCACGUCGGUUAUUGUUGCCCCGGUUGUCCAUGAAAAAUGCAUCCUAACAUUUCAUUUUCCUUUUUCCAAACACAUAACCUCCACUUGUACUUUCAUCCAACGUCUCAUCCCGUCUUCUUAAUCUAAUAAUUUGCAUCCAAUGUGUGUUAUAAUUCUGACGAUAUCUCAUUAAUAACAAGCCCUUUGUCCUCUUGGUGUAAACUGCGUCUUUGGGGUGGGUAACUCUUUCUAAAUGUUCCCUGUUGCUGUUCCUAAUUACCUGUACAAAGUAGUAACUUGACUGUUGGAUUACCUAAAUGUUGUAGCACAAUCGGAUUACUUUCCUUUUAAAAGGCAUUAGAUGAAGACAAAAAGGAACAUUACCAAUUGAGCAACAGUCUGUGGCAAGAUUAAUCAAUGUCAGAGUUUACAUAGCCGCCAUAAACGGACGCUGCACUUUACUUUAGGGAUUAGGUACAACAUGUUUCUCAUUUUAGUCAGCUGCCAAUAUUAGGUACCGUGUGACUUUUCUGAGGUCCAGAGAAAGGAGAGUCACAUGGCCUUACCUGUACUCUGCAGUGUUCUAGUACCUGAGUAGUAGCAGCUAUACAGCUUAGAAAUAACCCAUUCAGAUUUGUAUAUGUGCUUCCUUACAUACUAAAUAAAAUAAAAGUGAACUAUCA